CCCGACGCACCCUAAGAGCUUUCGGCUGGAAUCGGAUGCGGCGUUCUAGAGGCUUCCGCCAGUCCGCCGGAGCUGGGCAUGAAAACUUCAGGACUGGCGGAAGGGCAACGGACGAAGCGAAAACCCGGAACGCCACCAAGCCCCAGUUGGAGGUUGGCCGACGGCAGGUCCGUCUGGUGUGAUGCUGUUUGGAAUUUCCCUUUCAACCUCUGGUGGUAUUAAAAAUAUAUAAAUUCAGCUUUUAAAA